rnacentral:rRNA from 1 species
UACGUAGGCAGCAAGCGUUGUUCGGAGUUACUGGGCGUAAAGGGUGUGUAGGCGGUUGUUUAAGUUUGGUGUGAAAUCUCCCGGCUCAACUGGGAGGGUGCGCCGAAUACUGAAUGACUUCGAGUGCGGGAGAGGAAAGUGGAAUUCCUGGUGUAGCGGUGAAAUGCGUAGAUAUCAGGAGGAACACCGGUGGUGUAGACGGCUUUCUGGACCGUAACUGACGCUGAGACACGAAAGCGUGGGGAGCAAACAGG